CUCUAGUAAUGAAUUUCUACUCCCUUUUGAACUUUGAAUAUGUUAAUUUAAUCCCCAGAUGGUCACCAAAAAAUAUGUAUUGUCAAACCAUAGAUCUUGCUGCAUGGCUUCAGGGCUUACCCUUGCCCUGGCACUCUGCAGGUUCUAAACAUAGAGCUCGACAAGGGGGAAGAUAUCCUGGCCCAGCCCAGCCUAGCCCAGCUCAGCGUGUCCUUUCAGUGUUUACAAGAAUUUUGUCUUUUUGUCACGAUGUCCCUUCACUGAGUUGAAGUAUUCCCAGCCCUUAAAUGUUUUCAGAGAUUGGCUAGGAACAGUCAGUGGAAUGCUAUCAAAACCACAUUGUUUCUCAUUUCUGGACUUGAAAUCACCAGCAUUCGGAAUGCAUUAUCCUACAAUAUGAACAGAUUCUCUGUAAUGUGGGGAGUCAUCUUUGUAACCUGGGAUCCACUGCCACGAGCUGAGUUUGGGGCCCUGUCCAGCAGGAGGAAUGUUUAGAAGCCGAGGGAGAUCUUGUUCCUGUCUCCAGAACCCAUGCAAGUGGACUGAAGAGAAACUGUAGAAAGUGGAGUGCGUGCGCAAGUGUUUGUUAUAUUAAUUAAACUUCCCUGAGCCUUGACUUGCCAAUUUGUGAAGUGAAAAGAAGUUUUCUCUCUGCACAUCUAUGUACUUCUAUGGAGUUAUUUACUAUAAAGUACUAGAGCUUCUGUGGAAAAAGGAGGGGCACAAAUUCCAGCCCUUGGUGUGAUCAGUGGUAUUUGUAAAAGAGAAAGACAAUAGAAUUCUAAUAAAUUUUCCAAGUAUUC